GUUGAAUCGAAGACGAAGAGACGAGCCGCGAGGAGUCUCAACUGUUACCCGGCACCGAGAUCACGUGAAUGAAAUGACGUCAAUCCGAGGGAGAGAACGAGAACAUAAUAAUUUCGAAGCACAUGACGUCAAAUUGGGGCAGAUACGAAAUCGAUUGAUUUCGAGGAUACAGUCAAAGGAGCGGAAGGCAAGGAUAAAGGAUGGCGUUUCCUUUAUCUUUGGAGAAACGUGUAAGAGGAGAAAGGAAAGGAAAGGAAAGGAAAGGAAAGGAAAGGAAAGGAAAGAAAAGAAUGGUAGUUCAGGAGGAAUGUAUUGAAAGCAGGUCCCGAUGUCCUUAACCCACUCGUGGUCUUGCAUCCCGCGAUAACAAGCUACCUGGCAACUUCGGAUAAGUGAAACUUGCAUAAUUGGCUGGCGCUGGUGGAACGAGGAAAGAACUCGACCGGCAGGUAACUGCACCUGCGAUGUCUCCAAGGUGCGCGCGUGUGCCGGCCGUGUGCCGUGUGCUUCCAAGCAGACAACAGGACUGCAUACUCAACCAUGCUUCGAAAACGACCAAUGUCUUUGCGAUCGAAUGAUUUGUAGAUGUAUUGAUUGCUGAAAUAUACAGAUGGUCCGAUGUGCGUAGGUUGAUUAUUACGCAUACUGGAAUACAAAGUCAUUGGCAAUGACAAUGUACAAUAUCGAACGAAAUACAAACGCUACUAUAAAUAAUCUUUUAUCGUUUUCCAUAUGAAUGCAACAUCUGCAGUCGUACGAUGAUAUUCCACCACUUGCUGUGCCUUCUAUCAUAAAUAAUAUUUUAUUGUUCAAUAACGCUUACUACCUGUGCUUUUAUUGCGCGUAUGUAUAGAGUAAUGCAUAAAUACGUACUUCUUUCUUAAAUGAAAAUUUGAACGUAAACGGCAAUAAAGGGAAAAAUAAAAAGUAAAAGUGGAUACUGAACGAAUUUGUUAUACAACAGGAAUUAUAUAGAAUAUAAUGAGAAUUGGUUAU